rnacentral:rRNA from 1 species
AUUGAACGCUGGCGGCAUGCCUUACACAUGCAAGUCGAACGGCAGCGCGGGAGCAAUCCUGGCGGCGAGUGGCGAACGGGUGAGUAAUACAUCGGAACGUGCCCAAUCGUGGGGGAUAACGCAGCGAAAGCUGUGCUAAUACCGCAUACGAUCUACGGAUGAAAGCAGGGGAUCGCCAGACCUUGCGCGCAUGGAGCGGCCGAUGGCGGAUUAGGUAGUUGGUGAGGUAAAGGCUCACCAAGCCUUCGAUCUGUAGCUGGUCUGAGAGGACGACCAGCCACACUGGGACUGAGACACGGCCCAGACUCCUACGGGAGGCAGCAGUGGGGAAUUUUGGACAAUGGGCGAAAGCCUGAUCCAGCCAUGCCGCGUGCAGGAUGAAGGCCUUCGGGUUGUAAACUGCUGUUGUACGGAACGAAACGGUCUUUUCUAAUAAAGAAGGCUAAUGACGGUACCGUAAGAAUAAGCACCGGCUAACUACGUG